GAAGCCCUGCUCUGUACGAGGCGCGGUUUAAUUUGUUACCUGUAAAUCUUGAGAAAUGGUGUGUCAGUGUUCAUGGUGAGCAUGCCCGGAAACCUCCGGGAAGCCUAAAAUGGCCUACAGCACCAAUCCUUAUCCCCUAAGGUAUCUCAAAAAAAACCGUAACGGCAGUAGCGGGGCAUUA
rfam:Leptospirillum ferrooxidans C2-3 DNA, complete genome.